CAAAUUUAAAAUCUGGCAGUGUUUGGCUGUCCGAAUUGUAGCCUAGAGAAGUGUUGCCGAUGCUGGACCAUGUACAAGUCUCCUGGAAGGGAGCGUCGCAGAGGGUGAGAAUCCCGUAUUUGACAUGGACUACCAGUGUAUUGUGGUAUGCUCUCAAAGAGUUGAGUUGUUUGGGAAUGCAGCUCUAAAUGGGUGGUAAACUCCAUCUAAAGCUAAAUAUUGGCGAGAGACCGAUAGCGAACAAGUACCGUGAGGGAAAGAUGAAAAGAACUUUGGAAAGAGAGUUAAACAGUAUGUGAAAUUGUUGAAAGGGAAACGUUUGAAGUCAGUCAGGUUGGUCAGGGAUCAAUUUAGCAGAUAUUUGCUGAAUGUAUUUCUUGGCACAACGGGUCAACAUGAGUCUUGACUACUGGAGAAAGGCAGAGGGAAUGUGGCAUCCUCUUGGGUGUGUUAUAGCCCGUCGGUCAUAUACAGUGGUUGGGAUUGAGGAAAGCAGCUUGCCGCAAGGCCGAGUCAUUUUGUAUGGCUACGUUCAUGCUUAGGAUGUUGGCAAAUAAUGGCUUUAAGCGACCCGUCUUGAAACACGGACCAAGGAGUCUAACAUGCCUGCGAGUGUUUGAGUGGAAAACUCGAGCGCGCAAUGAAAGUGAAAGUUGAGAUCCCGACUAUGUUGGGGAGCAUCGAUGCCCAGACCAGAACUUUUGGGACGGAUCUGCGGUGGAGCAAGCAUGUUGGGACCCGAAAGAUGGUGAACUAUGCCUGAAUAGGGCGAAGCCAGAGGAAACUCUGGUGGAGGCUCGUAGCGAUUCUGACGUGCAAAUC
rnacentral:rRNA from 1 species